AAUAUGGGAAACGAAUAAAUUAUCCAGAAGACUGGAAUAGGGUGGCAAUCUAUCCAAUUCAUUAUUAAAGGGGACAAAAAAUAAUGUGAUUAUUAUAAUAAAGGAAUAAUCUUAGGAAAUAUAAUGUAUACAUUAGGUGUUAAAACUGUAUUUUGGAUAGAAUUAAAUCUAUAGCUAAAGGUAUCGUAAUAGGUUACCAUAGUGGUUUCAAAAUGAACAAGUCAAUAAUAGAUCAAAUUUUAUUAUUAGACAAAUAUUUCAAAAAAUAUGGGAAUUCAAUCAGGAU